CCGCAAUAUCGGCCAGGGACAAUUUCUACGGAAAACCAAAAAGAAAACUGGAGUCACCCAAUUCAAUUGUGGCGUGCUGUGAAAUUCAAAUUAACAUAUAAUGAUUGACCAACCAGGAGUAUUCUGUCCAGGAAAUCAUGAAGCUGAGAUGUGCUAUGGAGGAGAAGCUGAUCUACACAAACAUGUUACUGGCUGUAAGAAGAAUCCAGGUCACAAAGGUUUAUACCUCUUAAAGAUUUCACUGCAAGUUGUCUCCCCACACGUUACCAUGACGACCUCAUGUCUGAGACAAUCAAAACAUUGGCAGCCCUAACUGUCCAGGUAAAGACUAAAUUCACCAGUCUAGAGAGACCAGAGUUUUACCUAGACACUCAAGUUCCAUAUCCAUGUUAUAAAGACAGAGGAAGUCACGUGAUGAGGUUCGGGACGGGGAGGGUGUGGCGUGUGUACAAGUACACAGAGAGGGACAGAACUUGCCGUU